rnacentral:rRNA from 1 species
GACGAACGCUGGCGGCGUGCUUAACACAUGCAAGUCGAACGGAAAGGCCCUGCUUUUGUGGGGUGCUCGAGUGGCGAACGGGUGAGUAACACGUGAGUAACCUGCCCUUGACUUUGGGAUAACUUCAGGAAACUGGGGCUAAUACCGGAUAGGAGCUCCUGCUGCAUGGUGGGGGUUGGAAAGUUUCGGCGGUUGGGGAUGGACUCGCGGCUUAUCAGCUUGUUGGUGGGGUAGUGGCUUACCAAGGCUUUGACGGGUAGCCGGCCUGAGAGGGUGACCGGCCACAUUGGGACUGAGAUACGGCCCAGACUCCUACGGGAGGCAGCAGUGGGGAAUAUUGCACAAUGUGCGGAAGCCUGAUGCAGCAACGCCGCGUGCGGGAUGACGGCCUUCGGGUUGUAAACCGCUUUCGCCUGUGACGAAGCGUGAGUGACGGUAAUGGGUAAAGAAGCACCGGCUAAUUACGUG